rnacentral:sRNA from 1 species
UUCGACUAAGGUUCGAUUCGAGCGCAGCGAGAAAGCGUUGCCGUAGGCAACGACCCGAAGGGCGAAGCGCGCAGCGCUGAGUCAUCCUUCCCCCACCACCA